rnacentral:misc_RNA from 1 species
AGCUCGUAUAAGCGAAGGUCUGGAAGAAGAAACAGAAAACAAAUUCACAUUUCUCGUCAAAGCAAGUGAAGAAUUUGAAGAUCUCAAACCAUCAAAGCUCCGUAUCUGGAUCUUCGGGUCCUUCAACACCGCAGUGUUGGCCGCUCCAAAGGAGGUCGUCGUCGUCGUCAUGAACUGGGGAUUGGUUGAGUGGCGAUGACUGAGCUAAGAAAUGAAAACGAAAACAAAAAUUUUAUGGCACUUAAUAAUAAUCUGCAGGAUUGUGGUCGUUUGCUAAUGUGCGUCGUCACGUGCCUGACACGAGCACCUUUUUGAGCCGGUUCACUUCAGUAAUGCUCGACGCGCUCCCCGGCUCUUGCCAAUUGCGAUAUUCCAAUUUCCA